CACGUACCUUGCUGAGCACAUUUACCUAGUUGGGCACCGCAUGUACCUUGCUGGGCACAUUUACCUAGUUGGGCAGCACGUGUACCUUGCUGGGCACAUUUACCUACUUGGGCACCACAUGCACCUUGUGGACAAGCACCUAUGGAGCACUGCUGUGCUGCAGCGUUAGUUUGCGGUGCUGGAGGAGCUAUACGAAAAAUGUACAGGCCUGCCGGGUUUCAAGCAGGCAGCAUGGACACGGGUAUCUCGUUUAUUCAACAGCAUGGCAACUACAAAGCGUGGCGGCUUCCAGCAGAAUUUUCCACCGGGGGAAGCGGCCAAAUGGCUGAGGUCAAAGCCUCCACACUUCAAUCGCGGCGAGGCCCUUCGCUUCCCCGGCACUCCUCUGUCGGGAUAAGCCCUCGCCGACAACCGGCCCGGCGGGGCGCAGGGCCCGCCCCG